GGCAAACUGAAUCAAAUGGAGGCAGCGAAACCUGUUUAGCGACGCCGACGGGUUGGCGACCCGCCUACGUUUCUUUGGAUUGGAGGCUUCCCGGACACCGUGAUCGUGUAACGUAUCCCAUCCAAUGAAGAGGCAAGCCGGCUGUCGACGGUAUACGCAGGCGUACACGGCGCAGUGGGCACCGCGCCCACCGUUGCCCGAACGUCGGAAGGCGCUGCACGGUUGGCCGGGCGCGCGACGCCCGACUGAAUCGCACGCGAGUGGAGCAGCACACAGCAUAGCUACCGAGCGCGCAACAAGCGUUACGGUGGAUGAGCUGCUGCUCGAGCCACCACUGCAAGAGGCAUCGGUGACCCCCCUGGUGGUGGCUCGGUGUCCGGAUGUCUCAUCCCUGAAAAGAAACCCGCCUGGGCUAUGUACCACUGGAGCUGUCAGUGCGCUGUCCGAGCUGCGCAGAGCCACGCACUGGCAGGAACUCGAAAGUGACUCAACUCUGACACUGG